rnacentral:lncRNA from 1 species
AUUAAUGACCCGGAGCCACAUGACGGAGCAUGACACAGCACUUUUGGGCACAAGGCAGGGCCCAGAGGGGUGCGUGGGGGCCGCAGCCCAGCCCCCAAGCCCCGCCAGCGGCUUUACUGGGGUGUAACAAACACACGAUAAACUGCGCAUAUUCCAGUGUUCAUGUGGAUGAGUUUGGACAUAUGCACACACUUCCGAAACCACCAGCACAAUCAAGACAGCAGACAUAUCCAUCGCCCCCAAGGGUGUCCUUGUGUCUUUUUGUCAUUCAUCCCUCCCGGCCGCCCCAUCCACACUCCCAUCGCCUGCCGACUGUGGCUGAUCUGCUUUCUGCGGCUGUGGAUUAGUUUGCGUUCUCUACAAUUUUCUGAAGCACCAGUUAGCCCAGAUGCUUCUCAUCUUUGGAGUUGAGCUGCAGGCUGGAGACCUGGAAGGCCCUCGCAGCGCCUGCUCCCAUCCUCUCACCUCACGAAAGCGCAGGAAUGUGGGUUUGGAGCCAAUGAAAAGUACUGGAAUCUGGCUCUGCUCUGUGACCCUGGACAAGUCACUGCCCCUCUCUGGGCUUCAGUUUCCUCCUUGCUCCAUGAGGGCAGGGGAUUUUGUCUGUUUCAUUCACAAUGUGUUCCCAGAGCUCAGCACAGUGUCAGGCACACACUAGGUAACAGCACCUCGACUUCCUACUGAAGAACCCCCUCUUCCCUUUUCUCAGUCCAUGAGGCUGGGGGUGCCCAGAGGCCUCUGUCUCCAGGGGUGGACAUGUGACCGGGUCUUGCUCUAGUGAUUGGUCCAGGGAUGGGCACAUGACUGAGCCUGCCCAAUGAAACUUGAUCUUGGGACUUCAGGGUUGGCCAUGAUUUGUGAAGGAGAUGCCAUUUUCCAUUGGAUGGACAGUGAGCAAGUGAACGCUUAGAGAAGAAGAGGACAAAACAAGGGAAAAGCCUGCCUGACAGGAAGCAGCACAGAGCUGGACAGGCUUUGAACUCCUGGAUCCCACUGUACCUGAAAUUAGGCACCUUCAACUUUCUAGUUAUGUGAGCCACUGUCUUUCCCAUUUUUGGCUGAAAACAGUUGGGACUGGCUUUCUGUCCCUUGCAUACAGAAGGUGCUGACUGACCCCUGCCCCAUGGAAGAAGAUACUCCAGGCAGAGGAAAUAGUGUGUAUAGACACCCCUAAGCGAAUGCCAAGCGGGGCACUCAUGUACCAAGAAGAAGGAGGAGGAGGCACCUGGGAGCUGAGCUUAAGAGUUAGUCGGGUGGUCAAGGUGGGAGAAGGGGGUAUCUUUAGCAGAGGGAACAACCAUUGCAAAAGCUUGGAGGGGUGACUAGUUAGUGAAGAUCAACUGUGUGCUGAGCUCGUGUUGGGUGGCAAGGGACACAGACGAAAAGGGCACGGUGGAACCCAGCUACUUCUCACCUGCUCCAGCGCAGUGCAGGCUUGUCUGCUUUUGGAGCCGAGCCUGGACACCUCCGUGUCCUUCCCCCGGCAGAGUGCUGCCAGCACGCUGUCUCAGACUCUCCAGCAUCUCCUGGUUGAUGUGCAUCAUGGGGACCACACAAGAUUAUUUUAUAGGCUGCACAGGCAAAGCAUAAAAUCACCUCGGGUCACAUAGCGAGAGUUAUUCUCUCUGCAAAUUCUUUACAGUCUUUCCUUUAUAUCCAGAAGAGUCUCUGUGUGGUGCUAACUUGCCUCGAAGACCAAAUAAUUGCUAGUCUCCCUUUGUGAAAAGGAGAGCAGGUGUCAGGCUCAUUCAUGUCUCAGGCACACAAUUGUAUCUAGCUAGACUUUUCAAAAUGUCCUAUAGAGCUGCAGCACAUAUGAAUGAGGUGUCCAGCUGGUCCCAAACCUGUAAUCGGCACCCCAGUGAGCAGACUGGACAUCCCCACCCCCACAGCUGCCCUUUCUCCCCUCCACUCAUGUUCCCUCUAGGGCCACCACGAUCCCGACUUGUAUCACCACAGAUGAGUUUCACAUGUUUUUGAAUUUUACAUCUUAUCUGUUUUCUGUUCCUAUACAAGUUUGCCUUUUUUGAAUUCCAUAUAAGUGGGAUUCUACAAUGUGUUAUCUCAAUUUGAGUCUGUUUUUUUUUUCCUGCUCAGCAUGAUGUUUUUGAGAUGCAUAUAUGCGGUUUUGUGUAUCUGUAGAUGGUUCUUUUUUAUUGCAGAAUAAUGUUCCAGGGUAUGGAUGUACCAAAGCUUGUUCAUCCAUUCACCAGCUGAGGGAUAUUUGGACUGUUUCCAGUUUUCAGCCAUUAUAAAUAAAGCCACUAGAAACAUUUGCAAA